rnacentral:rRNA from 1 species
ACGCUCGACACCUACGUGAGGCAGCAGUGGGGAAUAUUGCACAAUGGGGGAAACCCUGAUGCAGCAACGCCGCGUGAAGGAAGACGGUUUUCGGAUUGUAAACUUCUGUUCUUAGUGAAGAUAGUGACGGUAGCUAAGGAGCAAGCCACGGCUAACUACGUGCCAGCAGCCACGGUAAUCUGAGCGGGCUGGCAAGGC